GACGGACGCUGGCGGCGUGCCUAAUACAUGCAAGUCGAGCGGACUGAUGGGAGCUUGCUCCCUGAAGUCAGCGGCGGACGGGUGAGUAACACGUGAGCAACCUGCCUGUAAGUCUGGGAUAACUUCGGGAGACCGGAGCUAAUACCGGAUAACACCAAGGACCUUAUGGUCCUUGGUUGAAAGAUGGCUUCGGCUAUUACUUACAGAUGGGCCCGCGGCGCAUUAGCUAGUUGGUGAGGUAACGGCUCACCAAGGCGACGAUGCGUAGCCGACCUGAAAGGGUGAUCGGCCACACUGGGACUGAGACACGGCUCAGACUCCUACGGGAGGCAGCAGUAGGGAAUCUUCCGCAAUGGACGAAAGUCUGACGGAGCAACGCUGCGUGAGCGAUGAAGGCCUUCGGGUCGUAAAGCUCUGUUGUUAGGGAAGAACAAGUACCGUUCGAAUAGGGCAGUACCUUGACGGUACCUAACCAGAAAGCCACGGCUAACUACGUGCCAGCAGCUGCGGUAAUACGUAGGUGGCAAGCGUUGUCCGGAAUUAUUGGGCGUAAAGCGCGCGCAGGCGGUUCCUAAAGUCUGAUGUGAAAGCCCACGGCUCAACCGUGGAGGGUCAUUGGAAACUGGGGAACUUGAGUGCAGAAGUGGAAAGCGGAAUUUCCACGUGUAGCGGUGAAAUGCGUAGAGAUGUGGAAGAACACCAGUGGCGAAGGCGGCUUUCUGGUCUGUAACUGACGCUGAGGCGCGAAAGCGUGAGGAGCAAACAGGAUU
rnacentral:rRNA from 1 species